UCCUGGCUCAGAUUGAACGCUGGCGGAAUGCUUUACACAUGCAAGUCGAACGGCAGCACGGGAGCUUGCUCCUGGUGGCGAGUGGCGAACGGGUGAGUAAUGCGUCGGAACGUGCCGAGUAAUGGGGGAUAACGCAGCGAAAGUUGUGCUAAUACCGCAUACGCCCUGAGGGGGAAAGUGGGGGAUCGCAAGACCUCACGUUAUUCGAGCGGCCGACGUCUGAUUAGCUAGUUGGUGGGGUAAAGGCCUACCAAGGCGACGAUCAGUAGCGGGUCUGAGAGGAUGAUCCGCCACACUGGGACUGAGACACGGCCCAGACUCCUACGGGAGGCAGCAGUGGGGAAUUUUGGACAAUGGGGGCAACCCUGAUCCAGCCAUUCCGCGUGAGUGAAGAAGGCCUUCGGGUUGUAAAGCUCUUUCAGCUGGAGUGAAACGGUGCGCUCUAACAUAGCGCGCUAAUGACGGUACCAGCAGAAGAAGCACCGGCUAACUACGUG
rnacentral:rRNA from 1 species